UACAGAGGGUGCGAGCGUUAAUCGGAAUUACUGGGCGUAAAGGGCGCGUAGGUGGUUAAUUAAGUCAGAUGUGAAAUCCCUGGGCUUAACCUAGGAAUUGCAUAUGAAACUGAUUGGCUAGAGUACGGGAGAGGGAAGUGGAAUUUCCGGUGUAGCGGUGAAAUGCGUAGAUAUCGGAAGGAACACCAGUGGCGAAGGCGACUUCCUGGCCCGUUACUGACACUGAGGCGCGAAAGCGUGGGGAGCGAACAGG
rnacentral:rRNA from 1 species